CGAAGCAUAACGCAGUCCGGUAGCGUGUCUGUUUUGGGAACAGAAAGUCAUGUGUUCAAAUCACAUUGCUUCGA
rnacentral:tRNA from 1 species